GCCCUUAUAGCUCAGUGGUAGAGCGUUUGUCUUGUAAACAAAAGGUCCGUUGUUCAAUCCAGCGUGGGGGCA